CGAAAAAUGGCAAUGCACAUUUGCAAGCUUUUUUUCUUGGGACUUAUAUGCAUUGCGUUGGUUCUAUCUUCAGCAGGAGCAACCCAAGUUGAUAACUUUCAAUCAAAAUGCAUUUUUGGGGAUUGUGGAGAUUGCGAAAAAAGAUGCAUUCAGCAGGGAUUUGAAGUUGGUUCAUGUACUUUUGAAGGAGAUUGUUGUUGCUAUAAACCUUGAAAUAAAUUACAUUAUUAUAAUUAUGUAAUAAUAUGAAAUAAAAAAUAUGUCAAAUUUUCUUCCAAA